rnacentral:rRNA from 1 species
GUUUGUUGUAAAUGGCGGCGUUAACGUGAGCGUCCUAAGGUAGCGCGAUAAUUUGCUUUUUAAUUAAAGGAUGGUAUGAAAGGGUUAACGAAGAAGAUGCUGUGUCUAAGAAUUUAAUUUAAACUAACUUUAAGGUGAAGAGGCCUUUAUGAAAAAGAAGGACGACAAGACCCUAUGAAGCUUUACCUUAAUUGAAGCUUUCAAGCUUUUAUACGGUUUUGAUGGGAGAUCAGUAAAAAUAAAUCCUUUGCUAUAGAGUUUAUCCUACCAGAAUUUCCUAAUUUUAUAUGUGUGAUUAGCUACUCUAGGGAUAACAGCGCAAUUUCUCCCGAAAGAUGGUAUUGGAGGGGAAGAUUGUGACCUCGAUGUUGGCUUUAG